AGUGGGAUAACUGGGUCAAAUGGUGGAUCAAUUUCUAGUUUUUUGAGGAAUCUUCAUACUGUUUUCCAGAGUGGUUGUAGCAAUUUGUAGUCCCACCAAUAAU
rnacentral:pre_miRNA from 1 species